rnacentral:rRNA from 1 species
UGACGGUACCUGAAGAAUAAGCACCGGCUAACUACGUGCCAGCAGCCGCGGUAAUACGUAGGGGGCAAGCGUUAUCCGGAUUUACUGGGUGUAAAGGGAGCGUAGAUGGCAUGGCAAGUCUGAAGUGAAAGCCCGGGGCCUUAACCCCGGGACUGCUUUGGAAAACUGUUAAGCUAGAGUGCCAGGAGAGGUAAGCGGAAUUCCAAGUGUAGCGGUGAAAAGCGUAGAUAUUAGGAGGAACACCGGUGGGCGAAGGCGGCUUACUGGGACUGUCACUGACAUUUGAGGCUCGAAAGCGUGGGGGAGCAAACAGGAUUAGAUACCCCUGGUAGCCCACGCCCGAAAACAAUCAAUACUACGGGUUGGGGGAGCAUAAGCUCUUGGGUGCCGGCGCAAACGCAUUAAGUAUUCCACCUGGGGAGUACGUUCGCAAGAAUGAAACUCAAAGGAAUUGACGGGGACCCGCACAAGCGGUGGAGCAUGUGGUUUAAUUCGACGCAACGCGAAGAACCUUACCAAGUCUUGACAUCCCGGUGACCGGUCAGUAACGUGACCUUUUCUUCGGAACACCGGUGACAGGUGGUGCAUGGUUGUCGUCAGCUCGUGUCGUGAGAUGUUGGGUUAAGUCCCGCAACGAGCGCAACCCUUAUCUUCAGUAGCCAGCAUUUAGGAUGGGCACUCUGGAGAGACUGCCAGGGAUAACCUGGAGGAAGGUGGGGAUGACGUCAAAUCAUCAUGCCCCUUAUGACCAGGGCUACACACGUGCUACAAUGGCGUAAACAAAGGGAAGCAGAGCCGCGAGGCCGAGCAAAUCUCAAAAAUAACGUCUCAGUUCGGAUUGUAGUCUGCAACUCGACUACAUGAAGCUGGAAUCGCUAGUAAUCGCAGAUCAGAAUGCUGCGGUGAAUACGUUCCCGGGUCUUGCACACACCGCCCGUCA